UACAGAGGUCUCAAGCGUUGUUCGGAUUCAUUGGGCGUAAAGGGUGCGUAGGCGGCGCGGUAAGUCGGGUGUGAAAUCUCGGGGCUUAACUCCGAAACUGCCUUCGAUACUGCGGGUCUCGAGUCCGGGAGAGGUGAGUGGAAUUCCUAGUGUAGAGGUGAAAUUCGUAGAUAUUAGGAAGAACACCAGUGGCGAAGGCGGCUCACUGGCCCGGUACUGACGCUGAGGCGCGAAAGCGUGGGGAGCAAACAGG
rnacentral:rRNA from 1 species